rnacentral:rRNA from 1 species
AGGCAUCUCUACCGUCUGGAAAGUUUUUCGGUCUGGGAUGGACUCGCGGCCUAUCAGCUAGUUGGUGAGGUAAUGGCUCACCAAGGCGACGACGGGUAGCCGGCCUGAGAGGGCGACCGGCCACACUGGGACUGAGACACGGCCCAGACUCCUACGGGAGGCAGCAGUGGGGAAUAUUGCACAAUGGGCGAAAGCCUGAUGCAGCGACGCCGCGUGAGGGAUGACGGCCUUCGGGUGU